AAUUAAUAUAUACAAAUAUAAUUCUCUGAUUCUGACAAUCUCUUGGCCAGCAGAGAAGGCCUUGCUGGCUCUGCCAGCCCACCUCUGGUCUACACAUUUAGUCAUAACAGUGAAUAUUCUG